AGUUUAAGGAAGGGAAAUUAUCCAACCAAUAAGCAAAAGAUGAAAGUAGCUUCUGAUCUUCAAGGUAUACUUAAGCACUAAAUGUUAUCUUAGAAGUUUG